rnacentral:RNase_P_RNA from 2 species
AAGGCGGGAUUUUCUGCCGCGCCGGCUCUUUUGCCGGUGAGGAAAGUCCGGACAGGAAAGGGCACUCUGCUGCGGAAAGCGCAGAUGGGAGUAAUCUUAUGUAGCCGUAACAGAAAACAACUGCCUGCCCCAGAAUCUACUGGAGCAGGCGAGGGUGAAAACGCGAGGUAAGAGCUCACGACGGAUGUCAGCGAUGCCAUUCGGGUACGGUACCAGAGCCUGCAAGACCAAAUAUACUGACAGAUGAGGGCUGCCCGCCCGAUGUCAGGGGGUAGGUUGCGCAGAUAAAUGGCAGAUCAACACAGAAACCGGCUUACUUUCCCGCCUUUUUU